GAGUGGCGAACGGGUGAGUAACACGUGGGUGAUCUGCCCUGCACUUCGGGAUAAGCCUGGGAAACUGGGUCUAAUACCGGAUAGGAGCCAUUUUUAGUGUGAUGGUUGGAAAGUUUUUUCGGUGUAGGAUGAGCUCGCGGCCUAUCAGCUUGUUGGUGGGGUAAUGGCCUACCAAGGCGGCGACGGGUAGCCGGCCUGAGAGGGUGGACGGCCACAUUGGGACUGAGAUACGGCCCAGACUCCUACGGGAGGCAGCAGUGGGGAAUAUUGCACAAUGGGCGCAAGCCUGAUGCAGCGACGCCGCGUGGGGGAUGACGGCCUUCGGGUUGUAAACUCCUUUCGCUAGGGACGAAGCUUUUUGUGACGGUACCUAGAUAAGAAGCACCGGCUAACUACGUGCCAGCAGCCGCGGUAAUACGUAGGGUGCGAGCGUUGUCCGGAAUUACUGGGCGUAAAGGGCUCGUAGGUGGUUUGUCGCGUCGUCUGUGAAAUUCCGGGGCUUAACUCCGGGCGUGCAGGCGAUACGGGCAUAACUUGAGUACUGUAGGGGUAACUGGAAUUCCUGGUGUAGCGGUGAAAUGCGCAGAUAUCAGGAGGAACACCGAUGGCGAAGGCAGGUUACUGGGCAGUUACUGACGCUGAGGAGCGAAAGCAUGGGUAGCGAACAGGAUUAGAUACCCUGGUAGUCCAUGCCGUAAACGGUGGGCGCUAGGUGUGAGGGUCUUUUCAC
rnacentral:rRNA from 1 species